UGGAGUGUUAAACCAAGCUUCUUGCGUGUAU
rnacentral:piRNA from 1 species